rnacentral:tRNA from 1 species
GGGUCUAUAGUUUAGUGGUAGAACACUGGUCUCCAAAACCAGUAGCCGAGGUUCGAGUCCUCGUGGACCCG